AUGACCCUUCCCGAGUCGAUCAGAGGGUGGCAGUCGACCUGGUUCUACUGCCAAGACCAGUCGAUGCCAGGGCAGUCGACUAGGCUCCAUCCCUUCCCUAUGAGUCAGGUGAACAAGCCAUCCUCUCUGAAAGUAGUUCCGGAGGAGAAGGCUCAGGUAAAAAUGUUGAUGGAGCGAGUAGUCCAGUUGAUUCGUGACGGUGUGACUGGCAUGGACCUUCUGGAGGUUUUCCUUCGGCGGUGCAUCCAACCACUCCAGUACCGGGGCCACCCGAUGUGGCUGUAUUCUGGUACUGAGGACACCUCUCGGGUCCACCCCGAAGAGGUCGACGAUGCCUCACUAGAGAGGUGA
rnacentral:rRNA from 1 species